GUUGUAUGGUUAAGUGACAAAGCGUACAAGGUGGAUGCCUUGGCAAUCAGAGGCGAAGAAGGACGUGCUAAUCUGCGAAAAGCUUGGAUGAGUCGAUAAGAGGCGUUUAAUCCAAGAUGUCCGAAUGGGGAAACCCAGUGGGUGAAGAACCUACUAUCAUUAUCUGAAUUCAUAGGAUAAUGAGGCGAACCGGGAGAACUGAAACAUCUAAGUACCCCGAGGAAAAGAAAUCAACCGAGAUUUCGUUAGUAGCGGCGAGCGAACGCGAAGGAGCCUGUUAGUGAUAAUGACAGAGACAGAGGAACAAGCUGGGAAGCUUGGCGACACAGGGUGAUAGCCCCGUACUCGAAGUCCGGGUUAUGGUACUAAGCUAACGAUAAGUAAGGCGGGACACGUGAUAUCCUGUUUGAAGAUGGGGGGACCAUCCUCCAAGGCUAAAUACUCCUGAUUGACCGAUAGUGAACCAGUACUGUGAAGGAAAGGCGAAAAGAACCCCGGUGAGGGGAGUGAAAUAGAACCUGAAACCUUGUACGUACAAGCAGUGGGAGCCUGAAAGGGUGACUGCGUACCUUUUGUAUAAUGGGUCAGCGACUUAUAUUUUGUAGCGAGGUUAACCGAAUAGGGGAGCCGAAGGGAAACCGAGUCUUAACUGGGCGAUUAGUUGCAAGGUAUAGACCCGAAACCCGGUGAUCUAGCCAUGGGCAGGUUGAAGGUUGGGUAACACUAACUGGAGGACCGAACCGACUAAUGUUGAAAAAUUAGCGGAUGACUUGUGGCUGGGGGUGAAAGGCCAAUCAAACCGGGAGAUAGCUGGUUCUCCCCGAAAUCUAUUUAGGUAGAGCCUUGAGCGGACACCUUCGGGGGUAGAGCACUGUUUCGGCUAGGGGUCCAUCCCGGAUUACCAACCCGAUGCAAACUGCGAAUACCGAAGAGUGAUACUCAGGAGACACACGGCGGGUGCUAACGUUCGUCGUGGAGAGGGAAACAACCCAGACCGCCAGCUAAGGUCCCAAAGUCUAUAUUAAGUGGGAAACGAAGUGGGAAGGCUUAGACAGCUAGGAUGUUGGCUUAGAAGCAGCCAUCAUUUAAAGAAAGCGUAAUAGCUCACUAGUCGAGUCGGCCUGCGCGGAAGAUGUAACGGGGCUCAAAUAUAGCACCGAAGCUGCGGCAUCAGUAGCAAUACUGUUGGGUAGGGGAGCGUUGUGUAAGCGGAAGAAGGUGGCUCGAGAGGGCUGUUGGACGUAUCACAAGUGCGAAUGCUGACAUAAGUAACGAUAAAACGGGUGAAAAACCCGUUCGCCGGAAGACCAAGGGUUCCUGUCCAACGUUAAUCGGGGCAGGGUGAGUCGGCCCCUAAGGCGAGGCUGAAAAGCGUAGUCGAUGGGAAACGGGUUAAUAUUCCCGUACUUGGAUAAACUGCGAUGUGGGGACGGAGCAGGUUAGGUUAGCGUGCUGUUGGAUAUGCACGUUUAAGUUGGUAGGUGGGGAGUUUAGGCAAAUCCGGACUUCCUUAACACUGAGAGAUGAUGACGAGGCUCUACGGAGCUGAAGUAACCGAUACCACACUUCCAGGAAAAGCCACUAAGCUUCAGGUUUAUCUAAACCGUACUGAAAACCGACACAGGUGGUCAGGUAGAGAAUACUCAGGCGCUUGAGAGAACUCGGGUGAAGGAACUAGGCAAAAUAGCACCGUAACUUCGGGAGAAGGUGCGCCGGCGUAGAUUGUAAGGGUUUACCCCUGAAGGUUGAACCGGUCGAAGUGACCCGCUGGCUGCAACUGUUUAUUAAAAACACAGCACUCUGCAAACACGAAAGUGGACGUAUAGGGUGUGAUGCCUGCCCGGUGCUGGAAGGUUAAUUGAUGGUGUUAUCGCAAGAGAAGCACUUGAUCGAAGCCCCAGUAAACGGCGGCCGUAACUAUAACGGUCCUAAGGUAGCGAAAUUCCUUGUCGGGUAAGUUCCGACCUGCACGAAUGGCAUAAUGAUGGCCAGGCUGUCUCCACCCGAGACUCAGUGAAAUUGAAAUCGCCGUGAAGAUGCGGUGUACCCGCGGCUAGACGGAAAGACCCCGUGAACCUUUACUAUAGCUUGACACUGAACAUUGAAUUUUGAUGUGUAGGAUAGGUGGGAGACUAUGAAGAUGAUACGCCAGUAUUGUUGGAGUCGACCUUGAAAUACCACCCUUUAACGUUUGAUGUUCUAACGAAGAUGACGAAACGUGGUCUCGGACAGUGUCUGGUGGGUAGUUUGACUGGGGCGGUCUCCUCCCAAAGAGUAACGGAGGAGCACGAAGGUUUGCUAAUGACGGUCGGACAUCGUCAGGUUAGUGCAAUGGUAUAAGCAAGCUUAACUGCGAGACGGACAAGUCGAGCAGGUACGAAAGUAGGUCAUAGUGAUCCGGUGGUUCUGCAUGGAAGGGCCAUCGCUCAACGGAUAAAAGGUACUCCGGGGAUAACAGGCUGAUACCGCCCAAGAGUUCAUAUCGACGGCGGUGUUUGGCACCUCGAUGUCGGCUCAUCACAUCCUGGGGCUGAAGUAGGUCCCAAGGGUAUGGCUGUUCGCCAUUUAAAGUGGUACGCGAGCUGGGUUUAGAACGUCGUGAGACAGUUCGGUCCCUAUCUGCCGUGGGCGUUGGAGAAUUGGUUGGGGCUGCUCCUAGUACGAGAGGACCGGAGUGGACGCACCGCUGGUGUUCCGGUUGUGUCGCCAGACGCAUUGCCGGGUAGCUAAGUGCGGAAGAGAUAAGUGCUGAAAGCAUCUAAGCACGAAACUUGCCAAGAGAUGAGUUCUCCCAGAUUAUAAAUCUGUAAGGGUUGUUUAAGACGAAGACGUAGAUAGGCAUGGUGUGUAAGUGGUGCGAGCCAUUGAGCUAACAUGUACUAAUUGCCCGAGAGGCUUAGCCAUACAACGCUCAAG
rnacentral:rRNA from 1 species